AAGGUUCGAUCAUGGCUCAGAUUGAACGCUGGCGGGAUGCUUUACACAUGCAAGUCGAACGGCAGCACGGACUUCGGUCUGGUGGCAGUGGCGAACGGGUGAGUAAUGUAUCGGAACGUGCCUAGUAGCGGGGGAUAACUACGCGAAAGCGCCGCUCAUCCACGCCGCCCUUCGGAGAAAGCGGGGGGACCUUCAGGCCUCCGCACUAUUAGAGCAGCCGAUGUGGAUUAGCUGGUUGGUGGGAGUAACGGCUCGCAAGGCGACGAUCCGUAGCUGGUUUGAGAGGACGACCAGCCACGCUGGGACCUGAGACACGGCCCAGGCGCUCCUACAGGAGGCAGCGGUGAGGGAAUUUUGGACAAUGGGAAACCUGAUCCAGCCAUCCCGCGUGUCUGCGAUGAAGGCCUUCGGGUUGGCGGCACUUUUGGCAGGAAAGAAACGGCACGGGAUAAUACCCCGUGCAACUGACGUACCUGCAGAAUGGCACCGGCUAACUACGUGCGCGCAACAGCCGCGGUAAUACAUGGAGGAUGCAAGCGUUAAUCUGAAUACUGGGCGUAAAGCGUGCGCAGGCGGUUCGGAAGAAAGAUGUGAAAUCCCAGAGCUUAACUUUGGAACUGCAUUUUUAACUACCGAGCUAGAGAUGUGUCCAGAGGGAGGUGGAAUUCCGCGUGUAGCAACGUGAAAUGCGUAGAUAUGCGGAGGAACACCGAUGGCGAAGGCAGCCUCCUGGGAUAACACUGACGCUCAUGCACACAUGUGCGAGCAAACAGGAUUAGAUGCCCUGGUAGUCCACGCCCUAAACGAUGUCAACCUUCCAAGCUGUUGGGGCCUUCGGGCCUUGGUGACGCAGCUAACGCGUGAAGUUGACCGCCUGGGAGUACGGUCGCAAGAUUAAAACUCAAAAUUGACGGGGACCCGCACAAGCGGUGGAUGAUGUGGGUCAAUUCGAUGCAACGCGAAAAACCUUACCUACCCUUGACAUGUCUGGAACCAGAUUUGGGAGUGCUCGCAAAGAAACCGGAACACAGGUGCUGCAUGUAAGCUGUCGUCAGCUCGUGUCGUGAGAUGUUGGGUUAAGUCCCGCAACAGCGCAACCCUUGUCAUUAGUUGCUACGAAAGGCACUCUAAUGGGCUUGCCGGUGACAAGCCGGAGGAAGAUGGGGAUGACGUCAAGUCCUCAUGGCCCAUAUGGGUAGGGCUUCACACGUCAUACAAUGGUCGGGACAGAGGGUCGCCAACCCGCGAGGGGAGCCAAUCCCAGAAGCCCGAUCGUAGUCCGGAUCGCAGUCUGCAACUCGACUGCGUGAAGUCGGAAUCGCUAGUAAUCGCGGAUCAGCAUGUCGGUGAAUACGUUCCCAGGUCUUGUACACACCGCCCGUCACACCAUGGGUGGGUUUUGCAAGUAGUUAGCCCUAUGUAUAAGGAGGGCGAUUAUACCACGGUAGGAUUCUGUGACUGGGGUGAAGUCAUGCAGGUAA
rnacentral:rRNA from 1 species